UACCAGCUCUUCGAGUGGUGUGGAUGUUUAUUGGGCCUAAAGCAUCCGUAGCUGGCUGGGCAAGUCCCCUGUUAAAUCCACCGAUUUAAUCGUUGGAGUGCGGGGGAUACUGUUCGGCUAGGGGACGGGAGAGGCAGACGGUAUUUUCGGGGUAGGGGUGAAAUCCUAUAAUCCCGGGAAGACCACCAGUGGCGAAGGCUGUCUGCUAGAACGCGCCCGACGGUGAGGGAUGAAAGCUGGGGGGAGCGAACCGGAUUAGAUACCCGGGUAGUCCCAGCUGUAAACGAUGCAGGCUAGGUGUUUGGGCGGCCACGUGCCGCUCUAGUGCCGCAGGGAAGCCGUUAAGCCCGCCGCCUGGGGAGUACGGCCGCAAGGCUGAAACUUAAGGAAUUGGCGGGGAGCACCACAAGGGUGAAGCUUGCGGUUU
rnacentral:rRNA from 1 species